rnacentral:rRNA from 1 species
AAUAGAUACCCGGGUAGUCCUAGCCGUAAACGGUGAGCACUAGGUGUAGGAGGCAUCGACCCCUCCUGUGCCGCAGCUAACGCAUUAAGUGCUACGCCUGGGGAGUACGACCGCAAGGUUGAAACUCAAAGGAAUUGACGGGGGCCCGCACAAGCGGUGGAGCAUGUGGUUUAAUUCGAUGCAACGCGAAGAACCUUACCCAGAUUUGACAUGCACUGGACCGGUGUGGAAACACACCUUCCCUUCGGGGCUGGUGCACAGGUGCUGCAUGGCUGUCGUCAGCUCGCGUCGUGAGAUGUUGGGUUAAGUCCCGCAACGAGCGCAACCCUUGUCCUUAGUUGCCAGCAGGUAAAGCUGGGCACUCUAGGGAGACUGCCGUCGAUAAGGCGGAGGAAGGUGGGGAUGACGUCAAGUCCUCAUGGUCCUUACAUCGUGGGGCUACACACGUGCUACGAAUGGCUGGUACAAAGGGUCGCAAUACCGCGAGUGGAGCCAAUCCCAAAAAACCAGCCUCAGUUCGGAUUGC